CCUAUCCCCUUACCUGUAGUGGUCUUUUUGUCCUUCUGUAUCUCUCUUUUUCUGCUCUCUGUCCCUUGCUAUUUUUUCUUUCUCCAUCUCUGUCCUACUUCCCGUCCCUUUCUUUUCCUCUCUGUGACUGUCCCUCUCCUUCUCCAAAAAUGUCCAUAUCCUUCUCCUUGUUCUUUUUCCUCUUUCUGCAUCCCCGUCCUGUUUCCUGUCUUUCAUUUUCUCCAUAUAUUCCUCUGACACUAAACCUUCUUUCGCUGGUCUUUUUCUGGCUGUUUUCCCGUGAUGUUCCGCAUGGCUCCCACUGCUUCCCUUAACAAGCAGGCGGUAUGAGACACCAUGCCUGCCGUUCUCCUUCUGCGCAUGCGCGGACCAGGCUGACUCGCGCCGCGUCGUCGUCUGGUGCCACCUGCUGGCCGAACAGCGAUACUGCAGACAGAAAGGCGCCGCAGCGGCCCUUCUCUCUCUGCUCCCACCUGCUGACAAAAAAGGGGUACUGCAGGUGGAGAGACGCCGCGCAUGCGCUGUAGACGUGACCAGGCGUCCUGCCCCUCAACACGCCUGGAGUCGUGGUCUUUGCACUCCGGACUUCCAGACGGCCAUGCUGGCUUCUGGGGCAUGCCGGGAAACGUAGUUUCGCAUUGCCGCUCGGCUUCCAGGCCAAAAGCGGCCCCUUGUUCAGGGUAGUUAUUUCCUCCCCGAGACGGCGUGUGGUGCGUUUUUCUGCCGUUUCCAUGUGUGGCUUUCCGCAUGGCUCCCGCUGCUUCCAUCACCAAGAAAACGGUUUGGGAAGCCCUACCUGCCGUUCUCAGCACCAGCGCGGUCGGCGGCUUCCGGGGAAACGGACCUUUGUGCGGGGCAGAGGCUGCGUCGUGCCAGCCCUGCGCUCCACGGGUGAAGCUGGGAGAAAAGGGGCGCGGAAGGGAGGGGCGGGAGCGAGGAGGGGAACGGGGGGAGGUGCGUUCGGGAGUCCCCGCGGAGUCAGGAGGGCUGCUCCAUCCCGCGGCAUGCUGGGAGCUGUAGUCCUGUGUGCCAGGCAGCCGCGUUGAUUGCUGCACAGCUACUGUGUUGUCACUGUCGCUUUGGCUCGCCUAAGGUGUGCCACGCCCCAGCAUAUUCUCUUGGUGGGUGACAGCUGAGCCUCCGGAUCCUUACAAAGGAGGAAGCCUGGGGAGACAGUGAGCGAGAAGCAUGAGAACCACAAAAUCCUCCCUGCGGUGUCUGGAGCAGAAGCUGCAUUUCCACAGAGUUCAGAAAAAGCAAAGAGACAGGAUGGAAUUCUGAGAAAGACAUCAGCUAAACUGCAUUGAGGGAGAGGAAGGAGUACGGUCCAAUUGAUUCCCAUCCCUUUACUUAGCUUGGAGUAAGCACCUGUGAGGUGGAAGAAGCCUUCUCGGCUCAUACAAAUCCAGAACAGCAUCACUUCCUGGAAAACAGAGAUCGGGUGUACGUACAACGCUGCCAAAGGAAUUCUCAUGCUGCCAUGACAAGGAAAAGAACCACACGGCCGUUCACUCUAGCCACCUGCCAGGUUAAACCAGCACAAGAAUGCAGAUGGGAAAGAGUAGAAUGCGCACCUCCUUGUUUGGCUUUCAAAAGGAAACAGACUAACAAAUUAUUCUAGCGAACGGUGUAAUUGUGCAAGUUCUCCUGACUUAGGGAACUUGUCAGGAUUACUGGUCUUCUCUUUCUAAUGUUAUUUUUCGUUAUACUCACUGCAAACCCUUGCUGAAUUUGAAAAAGUUACAGAGAGGUCACCUGUGAUGUCUUUGUGUAUCUCUGGAAAGGGGGAUGCAUUGCAUGGAGGUGCGACUCUUUCUGUAAUCUCUUGUCAAAAACUUUCUGGUUAGCGUGUUCUUCAGCCUGUUGGUUACGAAUGUCCUGCAGGGGUGUCUGCCAUUCCCACGAUAGGGAUAGCUGCAGAGCGGGUACUGAGAGGGAAGGAGCUUCAAGUGACAGCUGAUGUCACCGUUAAGAGUACUGUGGGAGCAGCCGGGGACAGGACAUGGAAGGAGAACUCGAUGAGAAGGAGCUGCUCUGGAAGGUGGAGGUGGGCAGUGACCCGAGAGCAGCAAAAUACACAGGGAAAGAUGCAGGGGGGAGGGAGAUGUUAGGAGAGGUGGAGCAACUGACAGGAGCAACUUUUCCCUUUCCUAUGGAGGGAGAUGAUGGUCUGAAAUCUGACGUAAAGAAAUGCUUGCUGUUUGCCCUUCAGGCUGUAAAGUCACUCAUCUUCCUGAUAACAGCUGCAUGCACAUGGCGUUGCAGGCUGUGAAUGCCUGGGCAGGGAUCUCUCUGUGUGGGGUGGCGAGUCCCUGGGAAAGCCAUCAUCUGCUGAAAGAAAGCCUGGGAGUACUUCUCAGAGGGAAGAAGCCUUCAACGUAUGGGGACCCCUAACUUGUGCACUGAGCAUGCAAGACAAACAUCUGUGGCAUGAAGACUGAGGACAGCUUCUCAGAGAGCAGUGCUUACCCUAAGCCAAGGACUUUUCAGCUUCUCACUCUGUCCUGCCAGCAGGCAGGCUGGGUGUGCAGCAGGAGCUGGGAGGGGACAGACCCAGGACAGCUGACCCAAACUGGCCAAAGGGGUAUUCCAUACCAUCUGAUGUCAUGCUGCACAAUUCAUGUGGGGGGACUGGCUGCUUGGGUAUAGGCUGGGCGUUGGUCAGCAGGU